rnacentral:rRNA from 1 species
UACGAAGGGGGCGAGCGUUGUUCGGAUUUACUGGGCGUAAAGGGCGCGCAGGCGGUCGUUCAAGUCGAGUGUGAAAGCCCCCGGCUCAACUGGGGAGGGUCACUCGAUACUGAUCGACUUGAAGGCAGGAGAGGGAAGCGGAAUUCCCGGUGUAGUGGUGAAAUGCGUAGAUAUCGGGAGGAACACCAGUGGCGAAGGCGGCCUCCUGGCCUGUUCUUGACGCUGAGGCGCGAAAGCUAGGGGAGCAAACGGG